GGCCUCGCCAGUCAGAAGUGACUCAUAGAAACCCUGGAUCAGAGCACUGGGAUUGCUCUGCUCGAUGCUGAUAAGCAGCUGAUUCCCUGCAUACAAUUUCACAUUCAAAGCAAGGGGACUGGAAGGCUUUCCUGUCAGCCCUGCUCCGACAGGCUCCCGGAGCACUGCGUGACUUGCUACGUUACACCCGCGAGCAGUGCUCUCCUGAAAAAGAGUUUGGCCCCGUGAAACUGGAAGCAAGCAAACCACAGUCUGUGCCUGUGCUGUGCAGUGCAGAUUCUACCACACAAGAUAAAUCUGGAGAGUGACCAGAUGUCCCCAAAACAAGAAGUUAGCAAGAGAAACCUGGACGUAGGACAUUGGACCCUGGAGACACAGCAUUCCUGGUCAGUUAUGAAACUGCAGAGCCACGAAGGUUAAAUCGGCAGCCUGUUGUACUCACUAAAGAGGUGUCUCUAGAUUGCAGAGUUCCUUAAUUUUACCACGAACUUGAUGACAUCACCACUUCUCUGAAUCCUUGAGUUCUGUGUGAACGUGUUUGCACUGCUGUAGACAAAAGCUUAAAAAUAUGAUAGGUGUGGCCAAAAGGGUUCAAAACCCAGAAGACAAAGAAUAUUUAAAUUAUUAUUUUGGAUUCUAAUUUAUGCUUUGUAAUGCCUAAAACUGUCAAUACUGGUUUUGUUUGUUUCAAGGAAGCUUCAACAGUGAGAACACUGAACUUCUCUUCUUCCCAAGCUUAGUCUUUCACAAAUAAACAAGAAUAAUACAAAAAGCUGGAAUAUUACAGAAAAUGAAGAUGCUCUCCUUGGACUCCUACACUUUUCGCUGUAAGUGCUAUUCACUGUUUCGAUACCUCUGACGAUAACACAUUUGAAAAAUGGCAGAUUAAAAGCCCAUAUGCA